GCACUUCUUUGGGCAAAUGCGAACCUCCCAUUGCCUAGGCUCGCUCUCUAUUGCUGUAGCUGAGUCCGUCUAUGGACUGCUCCUUCCUGGUAUGUAAAUGGUAGACGGGGUUCAAAUACCGAUUCCUGGUUUUCUAAAGCACCUUUAUUUUAGGAUCCUCAGAAGGUAAUCCCCUUACUUAACUUAAUAUAAGGGGUCAACAAAGACCAGAAAUCAAUGUAUAAAGAACCACAUAGAC
rnacentral:misc_RNA from 1 species